AUAAAUCCUAUAGCGCAGCUGCAUAAAGGAUAUACAAAGUCUAACGUUAAGCUUUCCUGAUUUAUUUUCUCUUAUAAACGAAUCACCUUGUUAGGUUUCUUGGGCAUUUCUAGAUCACCCCUAGUUUCUUGGGCUGCUGUCGGUACUAUGGAGGAGACGUACGCUAGUUUCGGCUUACGAGGGCAGAAAUCUCAUCUGUUUAAUAGAUCUGUGUACACUUAGCCCCAGUACAGUGCUUGGCAAUCAAUAUUUAUUGAAUAAAUAAAUUUUUCGUAAUUUUUUAUCACAUUAUUACAUUGGGCCAAUAGCUUCAGGCAAAAGACUAAAAGGCAGCUCUUUUGAUUUCCUUUUCCCAGAUUUUAUCCUGGAGGUCGAAGAUCACGACCUUUCAAGUGUCAGUGUUAUCCCCCCCCCCCCAGAUUUGUUAAUUGGUAUUAGAGUUCGUCUGCCUCUCCUGCGACUGAGACAGAGACGUGAGAUCAGGGUUCUGAGCAGCAGACAAGAGAGAGGGUGAAUGGCUGCUAUUUAACGGGUCACCACGUGAAGGCUGGAGUUCUGAAGCCGCAUCAAAGCAUAAUUGCCAAGCUAUUGAAGCCUAAAUGUGGAAAUGAACUGAGAUGAUGCAAGCAGACUGCCACAGUUCAGACUGGAACCUGCAUUUCAGGCGUGGAUAUGGUUUGCUAUCACUGGACAUGUUUGGUUUCCUCUGUAAUACGUGAAUUACUUGUUAAUCCACUUCGAAAAUCGCAUGCCCUGGGGUAAGGCGUUUGCUAAGGCUGGAAACUGCCCCUGGAAAGCUUCCCACCCUGGUCAGUGCGCCACACACAGGUCAGUGCGCCACACCACACUUGCAGGGUGCGAGCAGUCCAGGCAUUUUUUGUUUGGGAAAUGAACACGUAUUAUUUAUGUAUCUGAAAUGUUGAACAGCAGUUAAUGUAGGUAAAGUAGCCCUAUGUAAAUCAAUAUGGUUAAAACAAAAAGAUGUCCAGUGAGAAAUAGCAAAUUUCAAAUAGAUGGAAUUAUGGACAUUACCCAAAAACCCAUUUAAAAAUGCAUAAAAUGAUGCAAAUGAACCUCAGGAUCCUGAUUUCCUGUGACAAAAAGAAGCGAAAGAGACUUUAUGUGUAUUUAUAGUUGGCCUAGUUCUUCAAAAAUAAAAAGUUGAAGCAAAUAUGACAAAUUUAAAUCUAGGUUGCAGGACACGACUGAGCUUUUAUCUUCUGUAUGUCUGAAAGAAUUCGCCCUAUUCUUUAAAAAUGGGCUCCUAAUUUCACAACUCAAGGAUGGCAAAAAACCCAUUAUUUACCGGCUCUGGUAGUCUAAAAUCAUAUCAGUUUUUGGACUUUGAAUUUUAAGAUAACUUGAAGAAACCCUGUUUCCCAGUGAAUCAGAUCAGUGUAAAGACCAGUCCUAGAAAGCCGACUUAAAGACGGAAGUGUAGGAGUGCGAUCGAGAUGGCUGGGCGGAGGGAUGUGCCUGUCUCAGAACGCCGAGGGAAGAGCCGUAUUUCCAGAAGACCCGGGAAAAGCCUCACUAGAGGAGAGACGGGAACGGCACACUGCAGGGCCGCUCGGCGAACCCGCGGAGAGAGACAGGGCCUGCUGCUGCUGGGCCGCGGCUGCUCCACUCCGACCUAAGCACCCCCGCGGGCGACGCCAUCUUGUUGGGAAAACGGUUCUGUAUACAGAACCUCGGAACUGGCCCUGACUGAAGGAAUGCUUCAGUAAACAAGUGAUGAGAAUAGCGAGUGGCACAGAGACUCCAACCUGCAGCCGCCACCGCCUCCCUCAGCGCCCCCCACCAGCAUCCUGGGUCCCCAGUCAGGGGACGCCAUCUUGGAUGGAACAGGGCUCUGACUGCAGUGUUACAGCUGCCAGGGACUGAGGGAAAGCUUCAGGAAGGAAGUGACAGGAUCUGCAACAACAAAGAGACGCGGAAGUCCAGUGGGGAGAGAGGAACGACCAACACCUGAGCCGCAGCCCGCCCUUCCUUCCCCAGUGCUGCUGCUGGGAGCGCCAUCUUGCUGGGGAGAUUCCUGACUUCACCUUUCAGUCAACGAUGCACUCAAAAAAGAUUGAAAGCCUGCGAAAGUUCUGGGGCAGUUACUCCCGAAGAAACCUUAGUCUUGAACAAGCAGCUCCACUGAUACCAACAGGGUGCCGAGUCCUGGUCUCUUCUGCAGGCUGCAGACUCAUCUGCAGGCUGCAGACUCAAGUAGAAAAGGAUGCCGGCACCAGACAACACGCACUGCAGUGCAGAAGAUUCCUCUCCGGCGUCCCUCCGAAGAGCAGGCCUGCAGGACAACGGACAAAGGAAAGCCUUCCGACAGAACCUAGCGCUGGCUGUCCAUCUCAACCUGGGAACUUAUUUUACUGGCGGCAAAGGCAGAGUUUGAAGAGGUCUUCCUUCUGUUGGUUCACCCUCCAAAGGGCCGCUACGGCCGGAGCUGCGCUGAUCCGAACCGAAGCCAGGAGCUUCCUCCUGGUCUCCCAUGCGGGUGCAGGGCCCAAGGACUUGGGCCAUCCUCCACUGCACUCCCGGGCCACAGCAGAGAGCUGGACUGGAAGAGGAGCAACAGGACUGGAACCUGGAGUGCCGGCGCUGCAGGCGGUGGAUUAGCCCAGUGAGCCUUGGCGCCAGCCAGGAUCUCCUUUUCUAAGUGGUCAUUUUUCCUGCCUUUUUGUCUACUGUGUUACUGGUGAGGUGGUAGCAGACUCACUAAACCUGGAGGAUGUCCCAGCAGGACAGUGCGCACGCGGACCAGAUGGAGACCAGGGAGCAGGCAUUUGCAGCUGUACCUACCAUACUGGAUCACGUUUGGCUAGAGAAUCCUGAAGGAUGUUUGGAAAUAAUAAGUGGUAAUACAUCAGUAAAAUCAACACAGCUCCUGUUUCUGGGGAAUGAUUCCAAAUCCCUUAUUUUUUUAUUCAGGUGACUACAUACAUUUUCAAGGCUACUGAACAAGGUGGUGUGUACAAUGCAUCGUCCUAUGAAAAUGUCCUGGCCCAUCUUCCUGGUCACAGCUGUCAAAAGAUGCCCGCUCACGUGGAGUCGCAUGUGGUCCUCUGAAGAACUGGAAUUCGUACGGAUUGAGGUAAGCCGUAGUCACUGCACGGAGUCGAGGUCAGAGUUUUACAAGCAGAGGCUGUGGGGUCAGCACUGAUUUGUUACCCCAUGGGGAAAGCAGAAUGAAGAGGCCUUCAGCAAAACCAGCCCACAGAGAGAAUAAAGUAGAUGCAUCGGGGAUUCGACACAGGGACACAGGUAAUGGGACAGAGAGGAAGAGCAGAAAACAAGGAGCUUAGGGUCAGAGAGCAGUCGUUAAUGACUUCCUAGAUCCUACAAUGUUUAGCUACACUUCCUGAUGCUUUUAUCAAAACAAUUCUUGGUCUAAAUAGCAAUUUCAUCAAGACUUUUAACAUAACUGUAGCUGCAUCUUUUAAAUGUCUAAUUUGCAACUAUGGCAAUAUAACUUUUUGUAACAUUUUAACUACUGCCCAAAGACAGACCUGGUUUUAUAUAAUGGCUACCAUUUACUGAGCAAUUCCCUUUGGACCCACAGCUUCACCCUGUAUAUGCAAGAUCUCACUUAUUCUUCAUAACAGUCAGUGAAGUAAGUUCUAUUUUUAUCAUUCCCAUUUUAUGGAUAGAGGAAGUUAAAGCACAAAGAGAUUAAGAUCACACAGACAACAAAUUUGUUAACAGUGAUACCUGACAAGUUUUUUUUUUUUUUUUUUUU